UAGUGCUGGAGUCUCAGGAGGGAGUGCUCUUGGAUACCACCACCAUGGCUUGGACUCUACUUGUCCUCACACUCCUCAAUCAGGGUACCUGUGU
rnacentral:pre_miRNA from 1 species